GGCUGUUUCUACUGUGUCAUUCUGCAUGUGAGCAACUAACGCAGCGAGGUAACACUCUGCAUGGGGUGAGACAGCAAGAAGACAGGAGGCGAGGAGCUCUGAAGCCAGCGACUUCCAGGCCUGGUCCUUCUCUUUCUUCGUCGGGGUGCGUUUCUUUUGCCUGGCCGCCAUGAUCCGUCGAAAUCCCUCCAUCACCUCAUUGUCCGACACUCGGACCCUCUGCCUCAGUUCCUGUUUGCGCAUCUCUUCUUUGGCCAACCUGUGAGCUCUUGCUUCCGGGCUCUGUUAUGAGCGCUCAGGGCUUUGAGCUCGGCCUGUCUCUUCUGCAGCUCGGCCAGGACUUCGUCCUCAGAGUCGCCCCCUUGUCCGGGUCGCUCCUCAGAAUCCAGCAGGCCCUGGGCCACCAG